GAUGAAGAACGCAGCGAAAUGCGAUAAGUAAUGCGAAUUGCAGAAUUCCAGUGAGUCAUCGAAUCUUUGAACGCACAUUGCGCCCUUUGGUAUUCCGAAGGGCAUGCCUGUUCGAGCGUCAUUAUCACCCCUCAAGCCCUCGGCUUGGUGUUGGACGGUUUGGUGGAGGCCCCCUCGGGGGCUCCUGCCCCUCCCAAAGACACUGACGGCGGCCUCGUUGGACCCCCGGUACACUGAGUUCUUCACGGGACACGUAUCGGACACAUGGGUUUACGGGACACGGUCUGCCUCCCCUCAGGGAGAAUCUUUCUAAGGUUGACCUCGGAUCAGGUAGGGAUACCCGCUGAACUUAAGCAUAUCAAUAAGCGGAGGA
rnacentral:misc_RNA from 1 species